AGAGAAUUUCCUUGGCUUCGCAGCCUGCCACGUAAGGAAGUGUGGCUUGGAUUACAUCACCUAAAAAUAUAGUUUGGGGUCUCUGUCUGGGAAAGUUGCUGUUUUCCACAUUCCUGCAGGGUGGAGUCAGCUACACUGGGAGCCUGAGGAGACUUCUGCCUCUGCUUCUUCCAGAGAGGCUCUGCGCUGGGGUCUCGGGUCUGCCUGUGUUUCUCAUUAUGAGCAGGUGAGCCUCCUGGGCUGCCAUACCACCACCGCAGAGCGCUGAGGAGCAGAGCAUCCCCCCUCCACAGUGCAGAGGAGGUGAGCCAGCCGGGCCGGCAACCACUGCCCCAGAGUACCGAGGAGCAGAGCCCCACCCAACAGAGAGGAGGUGAGCUGUGCGGGUACCAGCAACCCUCCCCGCCAUGUGAUUGUGCCAAGCCAUUACCUGGAUCCACACCACAGAGUUGCAGGGGUCAUAAAGGACAUUGUUCUGAGCUCCAGAAGAUAGAGCAGAAGUGAACAACAGAAAGAGGGCCUCUCCGAGGCUCCUUGGUGAAAAUUAAAGCCCACUGGAAAAGUGAAGAAAAUUGCUUCAAUAAAGGCACACCAGACCACCUUACUGGGGGAAUAACAGUGUGGAUCAGAGCAGCAUGGAGGCAAGGAGAUCCCAGCCUGGGCUCCGCCCUGACCCAAGAGGUGGGGGCACACCAGCCCAAGCCAAGGGCCCACUUACAAAAGAGCUACACAGGCAUGCAAGCUACAGCCAGAGGUUUACCCUGACACCAUUUGGUAAGUGUGUGAGACCCUAGCCAGAAGCUUGCUCACACAACAGGAACUGGGGUGCACAGCCCCCAGCCAAAGGCCCUCCCAGACAACAGCUACCUAGGGGCCCUAGCCAGAGGCACACCUAGAUACCAUCCCAAGUGUGCACAGGCCCCAGCCAGAAGACCACCCACACAACAGAUCAGCUCAGGGAUCCCAAAGGCCACCUUUCUGAACUCAGGAAUUAGUGUACUGGUGAGGAACAGAGAAAAGGCUGCUCUGUGGCUUGCUGAGAAUUGAAGACCACUGGGUGAGCAAAAAGUUGCCUAAACAAAGGCACAGCAGGCUGCAUCUUCUGAAAUGAGACAACACAUAAACAAGUCUCAAAACCAGACUUCCAGAUCACCUAAGGUAACCCCAAAGGGAAAUGAGAUGGAACAAUCUGAUACUCAACUACCUGGACUCCCUGAACUGGCAACAAAAGAGGAUCUGGAAAAAAUGAAAUCAGAAAUAAUUUCUCAGAUAACAGCAGAGAUUGUGCCCAUAAUGCAAGGCAUGAUUAAUAAAUCUAGAGUGGACACAGAUAAAAAAAAAUAAAUAGAGGUCCUGAGGAACAUGAUGGAAUCCCAACAUAGGAAACAAAUGGAAUCCAUAAAACAGAUGCAAACAGUUAUCAAGGAAAUUAAAAACUCCAUUGAAAGUUUUCAUAGCAGAAUGAGCCAAUGGGAGGACAAAAUUUCAGAUAUAGAAGAUAAGAUUUCAAUCAGAGACCAGGAAAAUAAAAAUUUCUUUAAAAUAGUAAGGGACCACGAGAAAUCAAUCCAUCAGCUGCUAGACGAUGCAAAGAAGAAUAACAUAAGACUUACCGGAGUCAAUGAAGAAACAGGAGAGAGUGCAGACAGCUUAAAAAAACUGUUCACAGAAGUGAUGGCAGAAAAUUUCCCAAGCAGGGGAAAAGAACUUGACAUACACAUAAGGGAGGCACAUAGGACUCCAACUAGCCUUGGCAAAAAAAAAUUACACACAGGCAUAUAAUAGUUAAGAUUCCAGAAACCUAACAGAAGAACAAAGUUCUACAAGCAGUUAGAGAAAAGAAACAAAUCACAUACAAGGGAAAGCCCAUCAGAAUCACAGCAGACUUCUCAAUGCAAACUCUGAAGGCAAAAAGAGCUUGGAGUGACAUAUUUUAAGCCCUAAAGGAGAAAAGCCUCCAAUCCAGAUUGAUGUACCCUGCAAAAUUAUCUUUCAAAAUUGAUGGAGAAAUAAGAUACUUUCAUGACAGAGAGCACUUUAGAAACUUUAUGAAUACCAAACCAGCAUUCCAAAAAAUUUUAGACAAUAUCCUGGGAAAAGACAAUGAGGAUCACAACCUCAGGAAGCCCAACAGAAUGAAGCCAUUGGGCAUGAUAAGAAAUUAAAUGCAAAGUGGGAGAAUCCAACAAAAAGAAAAAGCCAUGAAAAUGAUAACUCAAUACGUAUCAGUUAUAACCAUCAAUGUUAAUGGUCUCAAUUCACCAAUCAAAAGAAAUAGACUGGCAGAAUGGGUCAAGAAGCAAGAUCCAACAAUAUGCUGCAUACAAGAGACACACUUAAUUCAGAAAGAAACUCAUAGACUGAAAGUUCAAGGGUGGAAAACAGUACUCCAUGUGACAGGAACCCCCC
rnacentral:lncRNA from 1 species